CGUGCAGGUGGUUCGGUAAGUUGGGCGUGAAAUCUCCUGGCUCAACUGGGAGAGGUCGUCCAAUACUACCGGACUUGAGAGCAGAAGAGGAAGAUGGAAUUCCCGGUGUAGUGGUGAAAUGCGUAGAUAUCGGGAGGAACACCAGUGGCGAAGGCGAUCUUCUGGUCUGUUUCUGACACUCAGACGCGACAGCUAGGGUAUAAACG
rnacentral:rRNA from 1 species